rnacentral:rRNA from 1 species
UACAGAGGUCUCAAGCGUUGUUCGGAUUCAUUGGGCGUAAAGGGUGCGUAGGCGGCGCGGUAAGUCGGGUGUGAAAUUUCGGAGCUUAACUCCGAAACUGCAUUCAAUACUGCCGUGCUUGAGGACUGGAGAGGAGACUGGAAUUUACGGUGUAGCAGUGAAAUGCGUAGAGAUCGUAAGGAAGACCAGUGGCGAAGGCGGGUCUCUGGACAGUUCCUGACGCUGAGGCACGAAGGCCAGGGGAGCAAACGGG